AUGAGGGAAUCCCAAGUGCUAGCACGUAAGUGUUAGCUGUUUCUUAGUCUAAAAAACUGAGAGAGUAAGAGCUGGGUAAGACGGGUGCCAGCCGCCGCGGUAAUACCUGCAGCUCGAGUGGUGGCCGCUAUUAUUGGGCCUAAAACGUUCGUAGCCGGUUUAGUAAAUGCCUGGGUAAAUUGUGUAGCUUAACUAUACGAAUACCGGGUAGACUGCUAAACUUGGGACCGGGAGAGGCUAGAGGUACUCCUAGGGUAGAGGCGAAAUUCUGUAAUCCUAGGGGGACCACCAGUGGCGAAGGCGUCUAGCUAGAACGGGUCUGACGGUGAGGGACGAAGCCCUGGGGCGCGAACCGGAUUAGAUACCCGGGUAGUCCAGGGUGUAAACGCUGCUUGCUUGAUGUUAGUUGGGCUUCGAGCCCAACUAGUGUCGGAGAGAAGUUGUUAAGCAAGCUGCCUGGGAAGUACGGUCGCAAGACUGAAACUCAAAUGAAUUGACGG
rnacentral:rRNA from 1 species